GAGGCAAAUUAGCCAACUAGCUAGCUAGAGAAGCAGGGUAGGACUUAAACAAGAACCUAAAUUUUUGAUGAAUUAUAGAAGGAUAUCUCUGCUGGUUUCACCCAAGGAAUAGUAACUGUGUUGCCUAGGGCUGGAAAGUUCUUUCUGUAAAAGCUGGUGGAAUAUAUUGUGGCUAGAACAAGAACAUUAUGCAGUUCUUAAGCUACAAGAUACUUGCAAGGCUAGGGCAUGUGACUGAGUUU
rnacentral:lncRNA from 1 species